GACGCCUAGGACAUCGGCGCUGGGACUCGAUGCUCGUGGACUGUCUCCUCUACAGGUUGAAGACUCGCACGCCGAGCAGCCGCCUCCCCGUGGAGCCACAGCCUUGAGCACACCUUUCUCAGUGCCCCAUCCCGGUUCCAGCAGUAUUUCUGGGUAACUUUAGCUGAAAAAAGGGGUACGUGUGGAGGCGGACAGGCGGCCCGGGCUCAUCUCGUCCCGGACGCGUGCGGCCCGGCGCCGCCACUCCCUGCGCGAGGCGGCCCUCCACCUUGAGCUCCAUCCUCCAAGGGCAGGUCCCCUGUUCAUCUCCACCCAGAUAAGGCCCAUCCAUCACUUGGCAGCCGCAUUAAAUUUUAACUCUGGUUAUCGAGUGUGGCCAUUCAAACUUUUAUCUAAAACCUUCUUUAUCUUCUUUUCAUUAAGUUCUCAAGCGCUAAUAGCUUCUGAGCUCCCUGGGUAAGGAUGAUGUUCUGAAUAAUGAAAGCUCAUUAUUUCUCCACAGAAUGCUUGUUAAUUCAAAUGAUGAUAUUAAAACUAUAGUAGCCUUUAGCAGUGGGGUGAUUUCUAGCAUACUUUAUCAUGUAUCAAUAUAUACUCUGUUUGUCAAAACUGCCCAGGGCUCGCGCUGACAUUCUCUCCCGGGGAGGCGGCUGCUUCUUCACGAGCCCCCGAACCCUCCAAGCGUGGGAGGAGCGGUUUACCCCCCGCCCCCCGUGGUGUGGCACCGAGGGAUGCAACAGGCACCGGGCCCUGUCCACACACCCCGGGGAUGCUGUAUCACACACUGAACAUCUGUGGCCAGCAGGGCAUGUGAACCCGGAUCGACGGCCGCCGCAGGGUGGACAGAGUGCCGCCAGAUCCAGACCCACCAAGUCGGUGGCGACAGGGCCAUGGGAAACGGGGCCAACGGAGGGGCCCCCGACCAACACAGCUUCGGGGUCCACAACCGCAGAGGACUCAGCAGAAGGAGCCAGAGAGCGGCAGCUUUCGUUGGCUGAAGGACAGAGCGCAGCAUUGCCUUGGGACUGCCGCUAUGAUAACACAGCACAACAGUAAACAACAACAGUCAACACAUGGGUGAAGGUGGCUGUCAGCGUUCGCGCUCGUAGUGUGAAACCGUAGUAAAUCUGUACGCUUGGCUGGAUGCUGGAGGUUCCCACUCGAGCAGGAGGGCGGCGACACGAAAGCGGCGUUACGCAGGGGUAACUGGACGCGGCGCGAAGCCCUUUCCUUUGAGACGCGUCGCUGUUUAUUUUCACAAACACAGCGUGUCCCGCAUCGACGGCGCAAUUUGAAUAAAAUAUUCCGGAGCUGCCA
rnacentral:lncRNA from 1 species